rnacentral:RNase_P_RNA from 1 species
CAAGUAAGACAUGCAAUCGCUGCUAGUCUAGAACUAGGAGAGGAAAGUCCGAGCUCCAUAGGGCAGGGUGCUGGAUAACGUCCAGUCAAGGUGACUUGAAGGAAAGUGCAACAGAGAGAUACCGCCUAAGUUUACUUAGGUAAGGGUGGAAAGGCGAGGUAAGAGCUCACCAGCGCGUUGGAGACUUCGCGGCUAUGUAAACCCCACUUGGAGCAAGACCGAAUAGAGAGACUUAUGGGAUUGCCCGUCCCGUCUCCGGGUGUGUCGCUUGAGCCUAUUGGCAACGAUAGGCCUAGAUAGAUGAUUGCUUAAUACAGAACUCGGCUUAUGUGCUUAUCUUGUAUA